GGAACCAGUGUUCUAAUACAGGCACAAAGAAACUAGGAAGAUUAAUUGAUGAUCCCGUUCCUAUACUGCAAAUGGCAAUGAAGUUUGACAGUAUUGUGGCAACUACUUCUAAAUUUAGAGGAGGGGCCUGAUUGCAUCUGACACUACAAACAAGCUCAAUGGGGCAGGUACAGUAUUUCCAUCCACCAACCAAACUGACUUUGGAACUAAUGGGUGCUGUGGACUGAGUGGGUCUCUGUGUUCUCUUCCUCCCUUCCUUUUGCCAGUGCAACCUUGACUCUCUAGCUACCUUCCCUCCCCACCCACCUCAGUGGUGAGUCCUGAACAACGCAAGCCAUGGUAAGUUUAUUCUCUUGGUCAGGGGUUGUUUAGGGGCAGAUGAAUGAUCUGGUUCUGACUGGUUGUCUUAGUUACAUUUCUCAUUGUUGAAACAAAAUAUCCA
rnacentral:lncRNA from 1 species